rnacentral:rRNA from 1 species
UAGGGAAUCUUCGGCAAUGGACGGAAGUCUGACCGAGCAACGCCGCGUGAGUGAAGAAGGUUUUCGGAUCGUAAAGCUCUGUUGUAAGAGAAGAACGAGUGUGAGAGUGGAAAGUUCACACUGUGACGGUAUCUUACCAGAAAGGGACGGCUAACUACGUGCCAGCAGCCGCGGUAAUACGUAGGUCCCGAGCGUUGUCCGGAUUUAUUGGGCGUAAAGCGAGCGCAGGCGGUUAGAUAAGUCUGAAGUUAAAGGCUGUGGCUUAACCAUAGUACGCUUUGGAAACUGUUUAACUUGAGUGCAAGAGGGGAGAGUGGAAUUCCAUGUGUAGCGGUGAAAUGCGUAGAUAUAUGGAGGAACACCGGUGGCGAAAGCGGCUCUCUGGCUUGUAACUGACGCUGAGGCUCGAAAGCGUGGGGAGCACAGGAUUAGAUACCCUGGUAGUCCACGCCGUACGAUGAGUGCUAGGUGUUAGACCCUUUCCGGGGUUUAGUGCCGCAGCUAACGCAUUAGCACUCCGCCUGGGGGAGUAGACCGCAG